rnacentral:rRNA from 1 species
GACGAACGCUGGCGGCGUGCUUAACACAUGCAAGUCGAACGGAGAAUUUUAUUUCGGUGAAAUUCUUAGUGGCGAACGGGUGAGUAACGCGUAGACAACCUACCUCUCAGAUGGGGACAACAUCGCGAAAGCGGUGCUAAUACCGAAUGAUGUAACUUUUCUGCAUGGAAGAGUUACCAAAGGCGGCCUCUAUUUAUAAGCUGUCACUGAGAGAUGGGUCUGCGUCUGAUUAGCUAGUUGGCGGGGUAAUGGCCCACCAAGGCGACGAGCAGUAGCCGGUCGGGGAGGAGGAACGGCCACAGUGGGACUGAGACACGGCCCAAACUCCUACGGGAGGCAGCAGUGGGGAAUCUUCCGCAAUGGACGAAGGUCUGACGGAGCAACGCCGCGUGAGUGAAGAAGGUUUUCGGAUCGUAAAGCUCUGUUGUUUGAGACGAACGUGCAAUUUUUGAAUAAGGAAUUGUAAUGACGGUAUUAAACGAGAAAGCCACGGCUAACUACGUGCCAGCCGCCGCGGUAA